UCUGGGCUACACGCGGGCUACAAUGGGUGGGACAAUGGGUAUCGACACCGAAAGGUGAAGGCAAUCUCCUAAACCCAUCCGUAGUUCGGAUUGUGGGCUGCAACUCGCCCACAUGAAGCUGGAAUCUGUAGUAAUCGUGUCUCAAAAUGGCACGGUGAAUAUGUCCCUGCGUCCUU
rnacentral:rRNA from 1 species